CCCCACAGAGCAGGUGUGAAUCUAUCCAUGACAUAAGUGAAGAGAAAUAACAACUGUUUACGAGAGUGGAUAGUGAUAGGACAAGGGGGAAUAGUUUUAAACUGAGACAGGGGAGGUUUAGGUUAGAUAUUAGGAAGAAGUUUUUCACCCAGAGGGUGGUGUCACACUGGAACAGGUUGCCCAAGGAGGCUGUGGAUGCCCCAUCCCUGGAGGCAUUCAAGGCCAGGCUGGAUGUGGCUCUGGGCAGCCUGGUCUGGUGGUGCCUUGGUGACCCUGCACAUAGGAGGGGGUUGAAACUGGAUGAUCAUUGUGGUCCUUUUCAACCCAGGCCAUUCUAUGAUUCUAUGAAAUAUAAAUCAAUGGUCAACAUAUGUAUUUGUUCAAGAGUGCUGAGGUUUUGCAGCUUCACUGACUGGAGAUCAGGCCAUGCUGUCUUUCAGUGGGGUUUGCUAAUGCUGUACAGACAGUAGGUGACAGGAGUGUGUAUCUACUCUACCCAAAACAUUAAAGACCACAGGAGUCAUGAUGGCAAUCAAGCCUGGUCUCCUACUCAGAGAUUCUGAAGAAUUACUGCUCCAGAAAGCAUCAUCCUAUAGUAUCAGUACCCCAUACACUGCUCUCUCUUCUCCCAGGCUUCCCUUCCAACUACAGGGACGUGUCUACAAGGAGUGACAGCCUGCUCAACACUAUCCCUUCAGGCAGAUGAAGGCCAUUUAUUACUGUUCAUCGUAUUUCACGAGAACCUAGGAGUCUCCACCAGUUUCAGAGGGCCUUGCUCAAGACUCAGAAGCGCAGAACAGAUAAAAUUGGAGGAAUGCUAUUACCUAAGCUUUCAAAUAAUGCAUUAUCUUUUUCAAUUUUGUGAAAUGUAUACCUUUUGGUUUAAACUAAAUCAUAUUUUUAUUCAUGUUAUCUGGCCAAAAUAAAGAACCUCAGAUGUUAUUUUAUAUGCCUUGGAACAUUCUGUCCAACCUGGAGGAAAGGAUUUUGUUUGGUCAUAGGAAAUAAAGAGCUCAAAGACUAGCAGAUUUCCUAAACGGAAGGCAUAUCAGAAGACUUGCAGAGGAUGUUGAAGACCCAAAUUUAUCCACUGCUUCAGCCUGAGAAAACCUGCAUCUCUUUGGCACCAUUCCACUCUAUGCAAUUAAAGGCUUAUGGGAGCAGAGGUGGGUUUGGAUAGACCACCUUCUGAAAUGUGUGCCCUGGAUGCCUACAAGCAGAUUCAGUGAUCAGAGCAGACCAACUCCAACACAAUAAGCUCAGAGAUGCCUGUCUGAGCUGCAGAGACUAUGGAGCCAGCAUGAAUAAGAAGCCCAAAUUUGCACAUAAAUUCAGGCUGAUGAAAAUGAAUUUUUAGCCUAUUUACCGGUUGUCAAAAAAAGCUGCGUUGGAGCUCUGGUUAUUAUUUCCACUUUAUGGACAGAGGGGUAUAUGGAGUGUGAAGAACCAUGAAGAGACUUUGAGCCUGGAUCUGCGGUUCCACAGUCCUGCUGAAAUGAACUGGAAGUCUUAGUGCUGUUAGGAUAGGGACGGCUUACACACGAGAUGCUUUUCCCGACCCAGGGCAAGAAGCAGAAAUCAGAAUUUUCUGAAGUGACUGAUCAGCUCUGGCACUGUGCAGCAAACUAAUCACAAUUUAUGCUGCGCCUUUGUCAUCGU
ensembl:lncRNA